rnacentral:lncRNA from 1 species
AUAAACCCUAUUGUUAUAUUGAGAACAACAUUGUGAGCAAAAGAGUAACUGAGGUUUAAAAUUUUAUGUUUCAAUUCUUGACAAUCUGCCUACGAACUGUAUUGAUUCACUGUUAUUCAAAAAGCACUAGUUGUCAAUAAAUCUAUAAACACACUAAAUAAAACAUAGCUUUUACAAUCAUAAAUCAGGUUGCUUCAGUAAGAAAAAAAAUGUGAACCGACGUUAUGUGUUUGCUAUCUAUAAAAUUUUUCUUUUUCAGUCUCUCAGCUAUGAGUAAAAUAAAAUGUUCUCAUUUUAACAGACAUUCAAAAACAUUAUUACAAAAUUUGUUUCAAAUCAUUUUAUAUGGUUAAUAGAUGAUGUAUUGCUGAAUAUAUGAAUACUACUGACUUAAUUUCGACAAGUAAUAUUGAAUAUAGAACAGUGGCAAAACGUGCAACUGUGGUGCAUAUCGAUGAAUGUUUUGAUGCAAUGCACGAAGCGUUUUGAACGAUGCUGAUCAGAAAUAACACAAGCAGAAGGGUGAUUUUUCUUUAUCUUUUCUGUUGUUUCUUUUUAUUUCUUUUCAUGUGUUUUGUUUUUUAUUUCAUGUAGUACUAAAUUAUAUCAAAAUCAUGAUGAUACAUCCCUGUUCAAUAUAUUUAUGCUCUUUAGAUGAAAUUGUUCAUUGUAAACUAUUUAAGUUUUACUAAGGUUU